rnacentral:rRNA from 1 species
CUGGCUCAGGAUGAACGCUAGCGACAGGCCUAACACAUGCAAGUCGAGGGGCAGCACAAGGAGUAAUCUGAGGUGGCGACCGGCGCACGGGUGAGUAACACGUAUGCAACCUACCUGUAAGAGGGGAAUAACCCGGAGAAAUUCGGACUAAUACCGCAUAAUACUGCUAAACUGCAUGGUUUGGUAGUUAAAUAUUUAUAGCUUACAGAUGGGCAUGCGUAUGAUUAGAUAGUUGGUAGGGUAACGGCCUACCAAGUCAACGAUCAUUAGGGGUUCUGAGAGGAAGGUCCCCCACAUUGGAACUGAGACACGGUCCAAACUCCUACGGGAGGCAGCAGUGAGGAAUAUUGGUCAAUGGGCGAGAGCCUGAACCAGCCAAGUCCGCGUGAAGGAAGAAGGUUCUAUGGAUUGUAAACUUCUUCUGUAAGGGAAUAAAAUGCGCUACGUGUAGUGUUUUGUAUGUACUUUACGAAUAAGGAUCGGCUAACUCCGUGCCAGCCGCGGC